GACGAACGCUGGCGGCGUGCUUAACACAUGCAAGUCGAACGGAAAGGCCCUGCUUUUGUGGGGUGCUCGAGUGGCGAACGGGUGAGUAACACGUGAGUAACCUGCCCUUGACUUUGGGAUAACUUCAGGAAACUGGGGCUAAUACCGGAUAGGAGCUCCUGCUGCAUGGUGGGGGUUGGAAAGUUUCGGCGGUUGGGGAUGGACUCGCGGCUUAUCAGCUUGUUGGUGGGGUAGUGGCUUACCAAGGCUUUGACGGGUAGCCGGCCUGAGAGGGUGACCGGCCACAUUGGGACUGAGAUACGGCCCAGACUCCUACGGGAGGCAGCAGUGGGGAAUAUUGCACAAUGGGCGGAAGCCUGAUGCAGCAACGCCACGUGCGGGAUGACGGCCUUCGGGUUGUAAACCGCUUUCGCCUGUGACGAAGCGUGAGUGACGGUAAUGGGUAAAGAAGCACCGGCUAACUACGUG
rnacentral:rRNA from 1 species